GGGCGUGUGGCGCAGUGGUAGCGCAUGUACGUACAAUAGUUCCACUCCUCACAUGAGUGUUCCACUGACAACUACAUACAUAGCCGCUUCGCAUUCAUCAUGAUAGCUUGCGGGGGGUCCUGGAUUCAACCUCCAGCUCGUCCA